UACGUAGGGUGCAAGCGUUUGUCCGGAAUUAUUGGGCAUAAAGAGCUCGUAGGCGGUUUGUCGCGUCUGCUGUGAAAACCCGAGGCUCAACCUCGGGCCUGCAGUGGGGUACGGGCAGACUAGAGUGCGGUAGGGGGAGAUUGGAAUUCCUGGUGUAGCGGUGGAAUGCGCAGAUAUCAGGAGGAACACCGGUGGCGAAGGCGGAUCUCUGGGCCGAUACUGACGCUGGAGGAGCGAAAGCGUGGGGAGCGAACAGG
rnacentral:rRNA from 1 species